AUGUUUCCAGCUUUCCACGCUAAUUGUUUAUCUUGGUUUUGCCGUUUGCCUUCUUCUCAGGCCGAUUUGAGCUGCGGAGCUUCCGGUGUGACCGCGAAUGAUCAUCAGCUGGCCGCUCCGGCUCCGGAGGACUCGGCGGUGGCGGGGAGCGAGAAGAUGGGGAGGGGCCGGAUCGAGAUCAAGCGCAUCGAGAACACCACCAACCGGCAGGUCACCUUCUGCAAGCGCCGCAACGGCCUCCUGAAGAAGGCGUACGAGCUCUCGGUGCUCUGCGACGCCGAGGUGGCCCUCAUCGUCUUCUCCAGCCGCGGCCGCCUCUACGAGUACUCCAACAACAGUGUGAAAGCCACCAUUGAGAGGUACAAAAAGGCCAACAGUGACACAUCCAACUCUGGCACGGUUGCAGAAGUCAAUGCCCAGUACUACCAGCAGGAGUCCUCCAAGCUGCGCCAGCAGAUCAGUAGCUUGCAAAACUCAAACAGGUCACUGGUGAGGGAUUCUGUCAGCACCAUGACCCUGAGGGAUCUUAAGCAGCUAGAAGGGAGGCUGGAGAAAGGCAUAGCCAAGAUAAGAGCUAGAAAGAUAUUGGACUACGUACUGCUCAUAUAUUUCUUCCUUGGAUUAGUUGCUCAUCUGACGAACAAUGCCUUCAUGCAGAAUGAGCUGAUGUAUGCUGAAGUUGAGUAUAUGCAGAAGAGGGAAAUGGAGCUACAUAACGAUAACAUUUACCUGAGGAGCAAGGUGUCUGAGAAUGAGAGGGGUCAGCAGCCGAUGAACAUGAUGGCGUCGGGAUCGACGAGCAGCGAAUACGAUCACAUGGUCCCGCCGUAUGAUUCCAGAAACUUCCUGCAGGCGAACAUCCUGCAGCAGCAGCAGCAGCAGCAGCAGCAUUACUCCCAACAGCUGCAGCCAACUGCCCUUCAGCUCGGGUAA
rnacentral:rRNA from 1 species